rnacentral:rRNA from 1 species
CAUCUAGCAUGUGCGCAAGUCAUUGGGUAUUUAUAAUAAACCUAAAGGCGCAAUGAAAGUAAAUAUAUAUAUAUAAUUUUUAUAAUUCUAUUUUAUAAAGGGAAGAUGGGUAACGUUAUUUAUGUUACCUCGCAUUCCCGGGGCGUCGCAUACUUAUUGCAAGUUGCGGCGCACCAAGAGCGUACACGCUGGGACCCGAAAGAUGGUGAACUAUGCCUGGUCAGGAUGAAGUCAGGGGAAACCCUGAUGGAGGUCCGUAGCGAUUCUGACGUGCAAAUCGAUCGUAUGAACUGGGUAUAGGGGCGAAAGACUAAUCGAACCAUC